rnacentral:misc_RNA from 1 species
GAUGAAGAACGUAGCGAAAUGCGAUAAGUAGUGUGAAUUGCAGACUUUAGUGAAUCAUCGAGUCUUUGAACGCACAUUGCGCCCCCUGGUAUUCCGGGGGGCAUGCCUGUCCGAGCGUCAUUGCUGCCCUCAAGCACGGCUUGUGUGUUGGGCCUCCGUCCUCCUCCCGGGGGACGGGCCCGAAAGGCAGCGGCGGCACCGCGUCCGGUCCUCGAGCGUAUGGGGCUUCGUCACCCGCUCUUGUAGGCCCGGCCGGCGCUUGCCGACACAUCAAUCUUUUUUCCAGGUUGACCUCGGAUCAGGUAGGGAUACCCGCUGAACUUAAGCAUAUCAAUAAGCGGAGGA